rnacentral:rRNA from 1 species
AGCUCCAAUAGCGUAUAUUAAAGUUGUUGUGGUUAAAAAGCUCGUAGUUGGAUCUCAACAGUCUUGAAGCGGUCAACUUUGUAGUUGUACUGCUUUGUAGACUGUGCUUUUGCUGGAGGUUUAGGGGUGCUCUUAAUCGAGUGUCUCUGGAUGCCAGCAGGUUUACUUUGAAAAAAUUAGAGUGCUCAAAGCAGGCUUUUCACGCUUGAAUAUUCGUGCAUGGAAUAAUAGAAUAGGAACUCGUUUCUAUUUUGUUGGUUUUCGGAAAUCGAGUUAAUGAUUAAUAGGGACAAUUGGGGGCAUUAGUAUUCAGACGACAGAGGUGAAAUUCUUGGACCGUCUGAAGACUAACUACUGCGAAAGCAUUUGCCAAGAGUGUUU